CGAGCCUCAGUCGAGGCGUUAUUGGUUCUUUGUGUUUUAGUAGGUUGAGAAAGUAGUUAUGAACGAAUAUUGUAUUGUAACGGAGUCAGUAAUACUCAAAAAAAA